UCUGAACAUCAGAGCCAAGGCAGAAUCAAGAAGUGACUUCUUUACCCACAACACAAGUGUGUAUAUCACAGACACACAGCUGGUUAUGUUUGAGUUCCCUGUCAGCUAGAUGGUUCCCUACAAGAUGCUCCACCCCCUGCUCUUCCUGUCUGCUCUCAUUGCACUGGCAGAACAGCGCAGCCAUACAUUCAGGAGUCCAGGACCUGUGGAAAGUCUACUCCGUCUAGAACAACAAUUAGCAGGGUUUGAGAUAAGGCCAAAGCAUACCACCCAUACCAAGCUUGCAGUACCUUUCUCUGACGAUGCUCAAGUUAAGUACCCUUUUGACACACCCACUGCCACACUGAGACCAACGAGGUAUGAGAUACCACUAGGGGGCAAUGUGACACUGAGCUGCUUUGUGGAGGGCUCUGACAACUGGACCAUUUUGUGGUACAGAGCUGCCACAUAUGGCUCUAAAGACGAGCCUAUGACAGAAUAUGAAGGGAAGAAAGCUAUUAAUGUGUCACAAGGAGGUAUCUACCACUGCAGAGGAAGAAGCCAUUCAGGUAGCAUCACACACCAAAGUAAUGCUGCCAUCAUUGAAGACACUCUUCCUAUUGCGGCCAUUUUGACCAUGAAGCCCAACUGGACUAAGAUAUACAUGGGUGAAACCUUCACUGUCAGAUGUGACAUCCAGGGAGGUGAAGGAACUUACUGGAGCUAUGAUUGGAGACCAAAAAGGUUUACCACAUAUUAUACAACCAAUGAAAGAACAUUCCACAAUGUUGGUUGGGAAGACAAUGGAGAUUAUCAAUGCAGAGGCAAAACGGAUCUUUCCUUCACACAGUGGAGUAAUGUCAUUCCAGUAACUGUAUCAUUUAAACUGCAUCCUGUCCUCACUGUGUCUCCCUCAUGGCUGAGUCCUGGAGCCUCAGUAACUCUGGACUGUGAGGUUGAAUAUCCUUCUGAAGGAUGGAGCUUCUCCUGGUAUAAAGCUGUUCCCUAUUAUAAAAUAACAGAGGAGCCCUACACAUAUGAGCUGCUACCUGAUGGCAGCAAGACUGCUCAGAGUUCGUACAUCAUUACUGGGCAGACAAGCACAGCAGCAUAUGUGUGCAGAGCAGAAAGAGGAAGCAACUACUACUACACCUACUACAGCGAUCCAAAGUUUGUCUGGUCUGCUGAUGCUUCAUCAGCAGCGUCUCUCACAGUCGGCCCUGUAGUGCAAAGAUUAGGCUAUGACUUUGUCAAACUGACUUGUAAGGGAAACUCUUCUUCAUGGAGAGUGAGGAAGUUCCCUGAGAAUGGCCGGCCAUAUUGUAGCAACUAUUGGGAGUCAGGAGAAUCCGUAUGCACAAUCGACACGACAUAUUCAGAUGACGGCGUGUACUGGUGUGAGUCUAUGUUAAAAGAGUUCAGCAAUGCAGUCAACAUCACUUUACAAGACUUUUAUUCUGGUCCUCUCAUGGUGAUCCCUGUUGAUCCUGUGAAUGAGGGAACUUUUGUUAGUCUUAGUUGCAACUUGAGAAGAAAAAGAAUCUUUCCCAAUGUGGCUUUCUAUCACAAUGACAAACUUAUCCAAAAUGAUUCCCGAGAGGAGCUGAACUUCUUGGCAGUGUCAAAGUCUGAUGAAGGUUUCUACAAGUGUCAGUACUCAGGAAAAGAGUCGCCAUCGCGUUACAUGACGGUUAAGUCUACUGUACCACCUGAAAUCUUCAGUCAGAGUGAAAGUAGUGAAAGCAGCCCCCUUCAUCCUGAUAAUGCUGCUGUCUAUGAAUCAGCAAACAAAGAUGGAAGACACUGGAAAUGGUCAGUGAGGAGAGCUGUAGCUGCAAAGCAAAAAAGAAUCCUUUUGUGAACCCACUGUCGCUCCUCUGCUACACAAAUAUCAGUCACACUUCGCAUUUUCCACAGUUAGUUUGUUUGAAGAUAAUACAUAAAAAAAGACCUCAUAGUCUAUACACUAUAAUCUACAAAUAUGGCACGAAAAAAAGGAAUUCCAGCUCUAGACUUGCAGAUCAUGUCUUUAUUGGGUCUGUCGGUCCAAGACUAAUUCUGUACAUCUAUACACAACCAAACUAGUUCCAAAAUUUGGACGUCCAACCGUGAUCCAACUUGAAAAUCAAUAUGAUGUUGAACAUUUGGAUUUUAACUGUAAUUGUUUGCAUGUUAUGGAUGUCUAUGACAGGUGCAGGGAAUUUAAAUGAUUAAUAAAUGUAAUUUUUUUAAAUUUACAAAUAUUAACAUUAAUUUGUUGUUAUCAACAUGAUGCAUAUGAAUGUGGGUUAUGUAUAAACAAACAUGAUUAAUUAUGUGCCUAUUGAUUUAAUAAGUACAUGUGGGUAAUUGUUUUGAUUAUUUUACAUUUUCCUGUUUUUCUUUGACUGGUUUAUUUAUGUUAGUUAAUCAAGUUAUUUGUUUGUAACCAGGUUGAAAUUGUCAUUUAUUAAAAUGUGUUGAAAUAUUUAAAAAAAAAUCAUGUUAAAAUGUAUAAUAAUAACGGUUAAAAUAUUUUACAAAAUGAAAUUCCUUUUGCUCUUUUAAACUUAUGAAACAAAGUAUUUCAUAAGUUUAAAAGAGCAAAAUUAAUGAUUUUUACAAGUAUCUUGUUUUUAUUGUGAAAAGCUUUGUAAGAAAGAAGUGAUUGGCGUUGUGAUCUGUAUCCUGCUCUGAGAGAAGUUGUGAGGGAACGUAAGAGAAGUUUGUGCAAGUGUGAACUGGGCUAUCUACUCGACAGGCUUUGUCAAUGCACAGAUUCUGAAAACUUUCUGUGAGAAGCCGGUGACAAUUCUGCUCAACACCCCACCCCAUCAUGUAGAUGUCCGUUUGUCACCUUGCAUUCCUUCACACAAAACUGUACAGAAAAUAUGCCCUCUACCCUCUGGAAACAUGGGACUAGAAGCAUAAAAAAAAAGACCGAUGUCUAAAAUGAGUCUAAGUUGGACAUUGCAAAGACGCCUGGUGUUACAAAACAAACCUUCCAAUGGACCAAAAUUGGAUGUCCAAAAAUUACUUAUAAAAGAUGUCAUUCAGACAUCACUCAGUGUGAUGUCCCAUGAAGUAAGAAAAAAUGAAAUAGAUGAUCUUAAGUGACUGUAGCUUUUAAACUCCAAGUAAUCUUUGUAUAGAUUGUGAAAAGUUCUAUAACACAAUCUGAAUGAAAAAUCACCUGUAGAUGUCAUUGUGGCAGCAGAGCUGAAAUGCCACCGUGAUGCCAUUGCUGUGGACCAGCUCUACACAUGGAUGGACUCUUGCAUUAACAUCUGUUUAACUUAUUAACAGCAAUUUGUUAAUUCAACAUAACAUUAUAACAGGUAAAACACAGACAGUCUCCAUAGCGUAAAAGCAUUAAUUGCAAUGUUCUCUUUUUAUUUCAGUUUUCAUUAAUUCAUUAAUUUCAUUAAUUAAUAGCAGGGCUUCUUUGAGCAGUUUGUAGGAAUGGGGUCUAAAAGACAUGUUGAUGAUUUGGGGGAAGUAUUUUUCCUAGAAAUUUUCACAUUAUUUGCACAAAAGCAAGUAUACACUAUAUGCCUUGCAGGAAAGGAAGGAUCUGUUUGCACAUCUGUGUGCAUCUUUGAGAUGUGCAAUAGCAGCUAUGAAGCCUGUGACAAGAGCAUGUUCUCAAGGUUCUCAACCUAGUUUUUUUCACUUUUCUGGACACGGUUCUUACAGUUUUCUCAACCUUUGAUUUCAUUUAGGACAUUUUCCAAUAUUCUGUAUCUUUUUAGGCAACCACUUUACACUUUUUUGUUUUUACUGUUGCUUUUUGUCUGUUUUUUACACAGUUUUUACACUUUUCUAACCUUUUAUCUAUUUUUGGAGAAGCAUUUUGCACUUUUUUGCAGUUUCUUUAAACACUGUUUUUCCUCUUUCACUUUUUGAACAGUUUUUACGCUUCUUCGCCUUUUGUGAACAGGGAUUUUAGACUUUUUCCAACUUUUUUUUCUUUUUUUCUUACGUGUUUGAACAAUCUUUUGCGGGGGUUUUUUUAACAAAGUUUUUCCUCUUUUCUCCUCUCCAAACAGUUUUUACAUUUCUUCGCUGAUUGUGGACACAGAUUUUCCUGAACCUCUCUGUUUUUGCACUCUGGGUUUUACAGUUUCUUGUGUGUGUAAAAAGCAAAUAAAGAAUGUGUUUGUGAACAGGUUAUUGCAGUCUGAAAUGUAAAGUGAAACUUUAUUUGAUUACAUUGUGUGAAUGUUCAGGCAUUAAUACUUUUUGGAAAGCUGAAUUGAAAGAAUUAAAAGUAAAUGUGAAAAGAACAUGAACAAAAUCCUAAACAAGUAAUGAAACAGUCCCAUCAAAGCUUCAAGCUGCAUUCAUCAGCAGAAGUGCAUCAUAAGUGUCUCACACAUUCAUAAUUGAUUUAAAAACACAACUUUUACAUCAGGAUGUGAAAGUAUUCCUAACGGAGUGGCUGCAGUUUGUCUAACACUUUAGUUAUAUUUGGGUUUAAGUUAAAGAAAAAUUCCAUAAUCCACAAAUAAUCAUUUACAACAAUAUAUUCUGCUUUAAAUCUUUACAACUCACAACAGAGAACACAAUCAAACUAAUAACUGCUGCACACUGACAUGUUCGUGUAAUUUCCUGGGUUAUCUGACAGUUAUUGAAUCCUUUAAAAUGGAAAAUAACAAAGUGGUACAAAUAAAUAAUAAUCUGAAACCAAGAAACUGAUGUUUUACACAUUAGUGUAGAAACAUCUGGAUUAUCAGCCUGCAAAGACAAACAAUCAGCUGGACUGAGUAUUUACAGUAAAUGUACUCGUCAGCCCGCAGGAUGAUGAAGUCCUUCCUGUAGUGUCAGAGUGAAAUCAGUGGUCUGUGUGGAGUGUUGCUGAAUGCUGUCUGUCUCUGCUCAGCAGCAGGAGACUCAAAGUCCAUCUGCAAAAACACUCUGAGACAUUUCAGACAGUCUGCAGUUCAGCAGGAGGACGCUCUGAAUCCUGACUCUGUCCAUGUUUUCUGUAGAUCAGAAAAGCAACAACAACAACAGCAACAAGCACAGCACAAAGUGACGCGCUCGCUAUCAGUCCAGCACGUCCUCUUCUGACUCCGUCCCCUCUCAGUCCUCCUGGUUGAUCUUCAUGCAGAAACAGGUGUGAGGUGCAGAUAGAUUCCCACGAGCGUGUUUCUUCCAUGAAGACGUGACACUCGUACGUUCCAGCGUCCGCAGUCGUCACAUUCUCCAGAAUCAAAGACACGUCUCCAUCCUUCAUCUGUCUGUCCUGCAGAUCCACCCGCUUCUUUAAAGAUGGAUGCUGCUUGGUGGUAUCAAAGUGCCCGUCCCGGUACAAGAGCACAUAUUCUUCUCCCAGAUCAGCUCUGCUCCAGUUCACAACUAUGAACUUGUUGUUUGGAGCUCGACAUGUCAGAGUGACGUUGUUUCCAGACUCAGCCGGGACUUGUUUGUCACGUGUGUGUGAAGAAACGCUGAGCUCGCCUUCAGCAGUGCAAGCCAGGACGCAUGCGCAGAGCACGCCCCGGAGCAGUGACGUAAUUCUGAGUGUAGCCAUUCUAGCGGAGAGCAAGGAGGUGUCUCAUACAUGCUUCUUACACAUGCAACAUUAAUAAACUGAAAUUUCUCGGGAACGCUCAAACUUCGGGAUUCGCGGCUUGGCUUCAGCAGCCUCUCUCAGCUUCGGUGUGGACAUAUCGGCUCUUAUGUGCCCAAGUUUUUCUUCAGCCUCUGACGUUUUUACAUUUCUUCGCUGAUUGUGGACACAGAUUUUCCUGAAACUCUCUGUUUUUGCACUCUGGGUUUUACAGUUUCUUGUGUGUGUAAAAAGCAAAUAAAGAAUGUGUUUGUGAACAGGUUAUUGCAGUCUGAAAUGUAAAGGGAAACUUUAUUUGAUUACAUUGUGUGAAUGUUCAGGCAUUAAUACUUUUUGGAAAGCUGAAUUGAAAGAAUAAAAAGUAAAUGUGUAAAGUGUCACUUAUCGUGCUGUUUCUUCUUACAUUUAUAGUCUCUUUGCUGACAUGAUCAAAUAAACUGCUGAAGUCUGAGUAGUUUUAAAAGGGAAAAUUUGGUUUUAAAGGGAUUCUGCUAAAGUGAAUGAAAUGCUAAUGAACUGAAUAAAGGCAUGAAAUGAAAUGACCUUUGUCUUAGUUAAAAGUGGGUGAAAGGUCAGAGAUGGAGAGGAUAAUAAGGUGGGGCUGAAGAUCAGUGAAUCUUAUGUCAAAACCUAGUUGGUUGACUUGAUAUUAGAGGGAGAACGAGAGAAUGGGAUGUGAAUGGGGUAAAGUAUGAACUUGGAUUCCCAGAGGUGUUCAUCAUCAUCAUCGUCACGAUCGAGAGGGGAGCUGCCAUAACAGGUGUGACUCAGAAUUGGCCUGCAGGGCUACUCAGGUUUCUUCCUAUCAGGCCAAGCAGCAAAGGCUCCUGUGCAACAAGGCAGUCAGGCUGGGCGAGUCCUCUCACCCACAUCAGCUCCUGAACCCUGCAUUAUCUACUGCGUGAGAUUCAUCGGAUCAGGGAUCAAGACGUUGUUUGUCAGAGAGCUGAAAUCAGCUUCCUGUGAAGGAGUUUCAAGGGCCUACUGAUCAAAAUCACACAAAGACUCUUCUGGGUCAAAUUUGUUUUGUAUCUAUUGAGAUCAGCUUUAGAUGAACCAGUGUGGUUCAAAUAAAAGAAGAUGGGGGUUUGAUGGAGUGUUGAAACUAUACGUGCCAUGUCUGUGUGUGGUGACAGAAGUCAAGGGGACCUGGAUUCAGCUUUGAAUACAUGUUCUGAGACUUCUUUGUCAGAUGGAUGGAAAGAUCAUCAUCACGUGGUUCUCAGUGACUGAUCGUGACUCAUGCUUUCGGGAGGAUUGAGAAAUUUGGGAUGUUCCCGCGAGUCAGUAACAGAGAAAAACAGGAGUGGACCUCUCAGUGUGUCCACACGCUGCUGUCUGCAUUACACUGAGUGAUAAAUUCACUACUUCUCUUUUUCUGUGAACAUAAAGCAGAAACAAGAAGAAACUUCAACAUAUUAUCCUGUCACAGAGGAAGCUCUCUGUUAAACCUUAUUCCUGCUUCAGACUGUGGUGGCAGAGCUGUAGCAGCUACACUCUUCGAUCAGAGCUUCAGGUUGUCUCUGAUUACAGGAACAGGUCCAACGUGAGAGACUGGGUGGGUUUUCCUUUUUAAUAUAUAUUACCAACCCGAACAUCCCAAAUAUCUCAAUCCACCUGAAAGCAUGAGUCCUGAUUAGUGGGUACCUGUGCCUGUGUGACGAUCCACUACAGUCGGUGGGGUACAGUGGUUUUCAAAAGUAUUCCCCCAUUUCCAGAGUUCUUUUUAAUUUAAUUUAAUUUUUAUACAUUUACAUUGUUCGGAACAUCAGAUAGACGUAAUUAUUAGACAAAGAUAUCUCAAAGAGUGCUUGGUUUAAAUGUAGUUUUUCUGGAAAAUCAGAAAACAGUUUUCAAAUUCACUCCUACAGAAUCGACCCCAAGCAUGAAGGGUGCUAACAAAGACAACAAAAAUAACACAUGAAGCAGAAGCAGACGAAGUGAUGAUUGUCACAUUUAUUCUCUUCAUUCUUUUACAUUUUGAAUGAAAAACAUGAAUAAAAUCCUAAACAAGUAAUGAAACAGUCCCAUCAAAGCUUCAAGCUGCAUUCAUCAGCAGAAGUGCAUCAUAAGUGUCUCACACAUUCAUAAUUGAUUUAAAAACACAACUUUUACAUCAGGAUGUGAAAGUAUUCCUAACGGAGUGGCUGCAGUUUGUCUAACACUUUAGUUACAUUUGGGUUUAAGUUGAAGGAAAAUUCCAUAAUCCACAAAUAAUCAUUUACAACAAUAUAUUCUGCUUUAAAUCUUUACAACUCACAACAGAGAACACAAUCAAACUAAUAACUGCUGCACACUGACACGUUCAUGUAAUUUCCUGGGUUAUCUGACAGUUAUUGAAUCCUUUAAAA